GGAUCCAGACUUUGAUCAUGGCUCAGGAUGAACGCUAGCUACAGGCUUAACACAUGCAAGUCGAGGGGCAGCGGGAUUGAAGCUUGCUUCAAUUGCCGGCGACCGGCGCACGGGUGAGUAACGCGUAUCCAACCUUCCGUACACUCAGGGAUAGCCUUUCGAAAGAAAGACUAAUACCUGAUGGUAUGAUGAGAUUGCAUGAUAGCAUCAUUAAAGAUUUAUCGGUGUACGAUGGGGAUGCGUUCCAUUAGGUAGUAGGCGGGGUAACGGCCCACCUAGCCAACGAUGGAUAGGGGUUCUGAGAGGAAGGUCCCCCACAUUGGAACUGAGACACGGUCCAAACUCCUACGGGAGGCAGCAGUGAGGAAUAUUGGUCAAUGGACGAGAGUCUGAACCAGCCAAGUAGCGUGAAGGAUGAAGGUCCUACGGAUUGUAAACUUCUUUUAUAAGGGAAUAAACCCUCCCACGUGUGGGAGCUUGUAUGUACCUUAUGAAUAAGCAUCGGCUAACUCCGUGCCAGCAGCCGCGGUAAUACGGAGGAUGCGAGCGUUAUCCGGAUUUAUUGGGUUUAAAGGGAGCGCAGACGGGUCGUUAAGUCAGCUGUGAAGGUUUGGGGCUCAACCUUAAAAUUGCAGUUGAUACUGGCGUCCUUGAGUGCGGUUGAGGUGUGCGGAAUUCGUGGUGUAGCGGUGAAAUGCUUAGAUAUCACGAAGAACUCCGAUUGCGAAGGCAGCACACUAAUCCGUAACUGACGUUCAUGCUCGAAAGUGUGGGUAUCAAACAGGAUUAGAUACCCUGGUAGUCCACACGGUAAACGAUGGGUACUCGCUGUUGGCGAUAUACUGUCAGCGGCUUAGCGAAAGCGUUAAGUAUCCCACCUGGGGAGUACGCCGC
rnacentral:rRNA from 1 species